UACAGAGGGUGCAAGCGUUGCUCGGAUUUACUGGGCGUAAAGGGCGCGUAGGCGGCCACCGCAAGUCGACUGUGAAAUCUCCGGGCUUAACCCGGAACGGUCAGCCGAUAUUGCAGGGCUAGAGUGCAGAAGGGGCAACUGGAAUUCUCGGUGUAGCGGUGAAAUGCGUAGAUAUCGAGAGGAACACCUGCGGCGAAGGCGGGUUGCUGGGCUGACACUGACGCUGAUGCGCGAAAGCUAGGGGAGCGAACGGG
rnacentral:rRNA from 1 species